CGAACCUGGGACUCUGGUCUGCAGGCUGAUGCUCCAACCACUGAGCCAAACCGGCUAGGGCAAGAUUGUCACUUUUCAGACCUGGAGAUUCAUAGAAAAGCUCCAGAAGCUGGGGCCAUGAACGGCGCCUCCUCAGCCAGCUGCCCCUCAGAAAUCUACCGGAACACCAUCUAUCCUCUGGGCCAGCGAUUUUCAACCAGAGUGCUGCGUACACUGUUCCCAGGCUGGAGAGGCCUCCAGAAAUCCUUAGCCCAGCUGCCCAUCUGAUGCAGAAAUCCCUUCUUCAACACCACUGCCA